rnacentral:rRNA from 1 species
UGGGGAAUUUUGGACAAUGGGCGCAAGCCUGAUCCAGCCAUGCCGCGUGCGGGAAGAGGGCCUUCGGGUUGUAAACCGCUUUUGUCAGGGAAGAAAUCUUCUGAGUUAAUACCUCGGGAGGAUGACGGUACCUGAAGAAUAAGCACCGGCUAACUACGUGCCAGCAGCCGCGGUAAUACGUAGGGUGCAAGCGUUAAUCGGAAUACUGGGCGUAAAGCGUGCGCAGGCGGUUUUGUAAGACAGAGGUGAAAUCCCCGGGCUCAACCUGGGAACUGCCUUUGUGACUGCAAGGCUUGAGUGCGGCAGAGGGGGGAUGGAAUUCCGCGUGUAGCAGUGAAAUGCGUAGAUAUGCGGAGGAACACCGAUGGCGAAGGCAAUCCCCUGGGCCUGCACUGACGCUCAUGCACGAAAGCGUGGGGAGCAAACAGGAUUAGAUACCCUGGUAGUCCACGCCCUAAACGAUGUCAACUGGUUGUUGGGAAGGUUCCUUCUCAGUAACGUAGCUAACGCGUGAAGUUGACCGCCUGGGGAGUACGGCCGCAAGGUUGAAAC